rnacentral:rRNA from 1 species
GGUUAAGCGACUAAGCGUACACGGUGGAUGCCCUGGCAGUCAGAGGCGAUGAAGGACGUGCUAAUCUGCGAUAAGCGUCGGUAAGGUGAUAUGAACCGUUAUAACCGGCGAUUUCCGAAUGGGGAAACCCAGUGUGAUUCGUCACACUAUCAUUAACUGAAUCCAUAGGUUAAUGAGGCGAACCGGGGGAACUGAAACAUCUAAGUACCCCGAGGAAAAGAAAUCAACCGAGAUUCCCCCAGUAGCGGCGAGCGAACGGGGAGGAGCCCAGAGCCUGAAUCAGUGUGUGUGUUAGUGGAAGCGUCUGGAAAGGCGCGCGAUACAGGGUGACAGCCCCGUACACAAAAAUGCACAUACUGUGAGCUCGAUGAGUAGGGCGGGACACGUGGUAUCCUGUCUGAAUAUGGGGGGACCAUCCUCCAAGGCUAAAUACUCCUGACUGACCGAUAGUGAACCAGUACCGUGAGGGAAAGGCGAAAAGAACCCCGGCGAGGGGAGUGAAAAAGAACCUGAAACCGUGUACGUACAAGCAGUGGGAGCCUCUUUAUGGGGUGACUGCGUACCUUUUGUAUAAUGGGUCAGCGACUUAUAUUCUGUAGCAAGGUUAACCGAAUAGGGGAGCCGAAGGGAAACCGAGUCUUAACUGGGCGUUAAGUUGCAGGGUAUAGACCCGAAACCCGGUGAUCUAGCCAUGGGCAGGUUGAAGGUUGGGUAACACUAACUGGAGGACCGAACCGACUAAUGUUGAAAAAUUAGCGGAUGACUUGUGGCUGGGGGUGAAAGGCCAAUCAAACCGGGAGAUAGCUGGUUCUCCCCGAAAGCUAUUUAGGUAGCGCCUCGUGAAUUCAUCUCCGGGGGUAGAGCACUGUUUCGGCAAGGGGGUCAUCCCGACUUACCAACCCGAUGCAAACUGCGAAUACCGGAGAAUGUUAUCACGGGAGACACACGGCGGGUGCUAACGUCCGUCGUGAAGAGGGAAACAACCCAGACCGCCAGCUAAGGUCCCAAAGUCAUGGUUAAGUGGGAAACGAUGUGGGAAGGCCCAGACAGCCAGGAUGUUGGCUUAGAAGCAGCCAUCAUUUAAAGAAAGCGUAAUAGCUCACUGGUCGAGUCGGCCUGCGCGGAAGAUGUAACGGGGCUAAACCAUGCACCGAAGCUGCGGCAGCGACACUAUGUGUUGUUGGGUAGGGGAGCGUUCUGUAAGCCUGCGAAGGUGGCCUGUGAGGGUUGCUGGAGGUAUCAGAAGUGCGAAUGCUGACAUAAGUAACGAUAAAGCGGGUGAAAAGCCCGCUCGCCGGAAGACCAAGGGUUCCUGUCCAACGUUAAUCGGGGCAGGGUGAGUCGACCCCUAAGGCGAGGCCGAAAGGCGUAGUCGAUGGGAAACAGGUUAAUAUUCCUGUACUUGGUGUUACUGCGAAGGGGGGACGGAGAAGGCUAUGUUGGCCGGGCGACGGUUGUCCCGGUUUAAGCGUGUAGGCUGGUUUUCCAGGCAAAUCCGGAAAAUCAAGGCUGAGGCGUGAUGACGAGGCACUACGGUGCUGAAGCAACAAAUGCCCUGCUUCCAGGAAAAGCCUCUAAGCAUCAGGUAACAUCAAAUCGUACCCCAAACCGACACAGGUGGUCAGGUAGAGAAUACCAAGGCGCUUGAGAGAACUCGGGUGAAGGAACUAGGCAAAAUGGUGCCGUAACUUCGGGAGAAGGCACGCUGAUAUGUAGGUGAAGCGACUUGCUCGUGGAGCUGAAAUCAGUCGAAGAUACCAGCUGGCUGCAACUGUUUAUUAAAAACACAGCACUGUGCAAACACGAAAGUGGACGUAUACGGUGUGACGCCUGCCCGGUGCCGGAAGGUUAAUUGAUGGGGUUAGCGCAAGCGAAGCUCUUGAUCGAAGCCCCGGUAAACGGCGGCCGUAACUAUAACGGUCCUAAGGUAGCGAAAUUCCUUGUCGGGUAAGUUCCGACCUGCACGAAUGGCGUAAUGAUGGCCAGGCUGUCUCCACCCGAGACUCAGUGAAAUUGAACUCGCUGUGAAGAUGCAGUGUACCCGCGGCAAGACGGAAAGACCCCGUGAACCUUUACUAUAGCUUGACACUGAACAUUGAGCCUUGAUGUGUAGGAUAGGUGGGAGGCUUUGAAGUGUGGACGCCAGUCUGCAUGGAGCCGACCUUGAAAUACCACCCUUUAAUGUUUGAUGUUCUAACGUUGGCCCCUGAUCGGGGUUGCGGACAGUGUCUGGUGGGUAGUUUGACUGGGGCGGUCUCCUCCUAAAGAGUAACGGAGGAGCACGAAGGUUGGCUAAUCCUGGUCGGACAUCAGGAGGUUAGUGCAAUGGCAUAAGCCAGCUUGACUGCGAGCGUGACGGCGCGAGCAGGUGCGAAAGCAGGUCAUAGUGAUCCGGUGGUUCUGAAUGGAAGGGCCAUCGCUCAACGGAUAAAAGGUACUCCGGGGAUAACAGGCUGAUACCGCCCAAGAGUUCAUAUCGACGGCGGUGUUUGGCACCUCGAUGUCGGCUCAUCACAUCCUGGGGCUGAAGUAGGUCCCAAGGGUAUGGCUGUUCGCCAUUUAAAGUGGUACGCGAGCUGGGUUUAGAACGUCGUGAGACAGUUCGGUCCCUAUCUGCCGUGGGCGCUGGAGAACUGAGGGGGGCUGCUCCUAGUACGAGAGGACCGGAGUGGACGCAUCACUGGUGUUCGGGUUGUCAUGCCAAUGGCACUGCCCGGUAGCUAAAUGCGGAAGAGAUAAGUGCUGAAAGCAUCUAAGCACGAAACUUGCCCCGAGAUGAGUUCUCCCUGACUCCUUGAGAGUCCUGAAGGAACGUUGAAGACGACGACGUUGAUAGGCCGGGUGUGUAAGCGCAGCGAUGCGUUGAGCUAACCGGUACUAAUGAGCCGUGAGGCUUAACCUU